AUGCAUUUUCAAUGCACACCUACUUUUGACUCUCUUCAAUUCCAUGUGGGAAGCCUCAUUUAAAGCCUCUCUGCCCUCCGCCUCUGCUUCGCCACUCUCAUACAUUCCAUAGUCCAUAACAUUGCCAUACCUGCAAGCUUCUCUCUCUUUCAGCUCUGGUUAUUUAAGAUUUCUCUUCAAUUCCUCUGAAACUUCAGCUUUUCACGGUUUCUGAAGCAGGAAUUUCUCUCCAUUGAUAAGAAGUUUACUUGCUCUUCUCUUAUGUUAUUGUUUCAAAGUUGAAUUCUCUCACUCUUUGGCCCAUAUUUUCUUAUAUCAAAUCUUAGCUUCCACAAACUUAUCAAAUGGCUUCACCUAUGGUUCCAUCAAAUAAGAAAUUUAAGAGGACACAAACAAGGAAAUCACAUUCAUGGUGGUGGGAUAGUCACAUCAGUCCGAAAAAUUCUAAGUGGCUUGCGGAGAAUCUCGAGGGUAAGCAACUAGGCUGCGCUUUACCCCCUCCCUAGUUUUUCCCCCAAAUUUGUUAAGAUAAAGCAUAAAGAUCAGUAAAUGGUGCCUUAUGACAUUGUGAGUCAUAUUACAGCCCAUUUUUCCAGGUCAGCUUACUUGAAAAUUCUUGUUAAAGAUGUUUUGUCGAAAUAAUGAUAUGGUGUAUUAUGCUAUGAGUAAAAUUUCUGAAGCCUGAUUUGAUGUUGUUUAAGCAUUUUUAUCUCCCAAAAAGUAGAAGGGAGAGCAAAUAAAAUAGGUGGUGAUUGAACCAUCUUGUAAUAUAUAUUUCAAAUAAAUUCGAGGCAGCUCCUUGGAAGUUGAGAUUGUAUCGAUCAUAGAAUCUCCCCUCUUUUCCUUCCAUGCACUCUCUCACUCUCAUAGUUAAAAGGACAUUUUACACAUUAUGAAUUAAUAGGUCCAUAUUUCUAUGUGGAAUACACUUUUCAUGGAUUCAUAUACCGAUGAGAAGCUUUAGUUUAGAAGUUAUACUUCUUCACAAUAUAUGCCUAAUGCUGUGUCUUAAUAAAAAUGUCUCUUGCCUAUAUUUUAGAUGCAAAAAUUCUGUUGCCUAUAUUUCUGUACAAUAUAUGCCUAUUGCUGCGUCUCAAACAAAAUGUAUUCUGCCAAUAUCUUGGGAUCUGCCUCGUAUUUUGUUUCAUGUCCAAAAAGAGUCCGUCCCUAAAUGAAAGUCCUAAAAGAGUCAUGGUUAAAACUAGUAAGGUAGGCAACGGUUUGAUAAUUUUAGCCAUUUCCUCUGCAACUAACCUUUAUUAAUUCUAAAUUGGGCAUAGCUUUGAGUGAUUGCUAUUACUCAAUCC